CUUUUUUCACUCAUUUUUUUCCAACAGGAAAACAAAUUGAUUGGAACAACAUUUGGUUUUCACCUGGUGAUGGCCAUUGUGUUGAUUUUUGGACAUGUUCUGCUGAGGUGAGUCCCCAUCAGCUGCCACCACCACCAUAAUUAUCAAUAUACAAACCUCUUCUUUACUUAUUACUCUCAUUCAAAUUAACUAAUAUUAACGUGUGUAACAUUACAAACGCCAGAUAGGGUGAAAAGGAAAAGCAUUAAAAAAAUUUGGUCAAAAUUUGGUCUAUUUAUCAAAUAUUACCAAUCAGGUUUGAAGAUGCUUCCGGAUUGUUCUCCUUCACCCACUCAUCCACAGUUUCCUUCCAUUUCCUAAACAUCAAGAUGAAAUUAUAAGAAAUGAAGAGGAGAUUUAAUGCUAUAUGAUGAAAUAAAAUAUAAAACUUCAACCGCGUCAGUUAAUCUCGUAUAAAUGCAAAUACCUGACAAGCUCCUUCACCAAUCUGCGCACUUCAUUUGAAGGAUACUUCCGCAAUCCAUUGACAUACCUUCCUAUAUCAGUUUCCUGCUCCAUAUAUUCAAACCCAAAAAUGUAAUAAGAAUAAUGUCAAAAGAUUAAAUAAAUUAGCUGGAAAACUUAUCAUUUCCACCUUCAGCGCUUGGAAAGUAAUAUCCAUAUCUGCCAGAUUUUGCAGCAAUUCCACAACAUAUUCUUCACUCUACAUCCAAAAGAAAAAGAAAAACCAGAAAUGAAAUGUACAACAAACUAAAGCAGACCACAAGAAGCAAAUUUUCAAUAAAACAGAGAAUUCACCUGGUUAGGGUCUUCAAGCUGCUCUUUGAAUCUGAGAAUUUUAGUCUGCUCAUCGUCAAAUAGCCCCCCGUACGGAUCCAAAUCUUCUUCUUCCUCCUCUCCUCCAGUAGAAUUCCGAUUAUUUGACUCAGGAGUCAACGGGCUCUUACUAAAUUCCUCGUUUGUAAUAUCAUUACUAAAAAUGCUAUUUUUUUUGUUACCGUUAGCAUAAUCGUUGUUAUUAUCGCUAUUGUUAUUAUGAGAAUAAUAGUGAUCUUGAACCUCGUCGUUGAUACUGCUAUUGCAGUUUUGGCAGAGCUGAUUACUGGAAGGGGAAGAAUAGAGCGACUCAACGAUUUUAUCUCUGCGAUGCUUCAAAUCUUCGGCGUAGUCAGAAAUGGCCACUUUGAUCGCCGUGUCAAUCAGCGCCCAAAUCCCCACUCGCGAUCUCGACAAAAUCGCCCGAAGCUCAUCGGAAUCCAUUCAGAAAGUUCCUCUUCUUAGCUAAAGAAAAUUGAAAAAUGAAUAGAAACAGGAAUCACUAAGAGUAAAAUUUUGGAAUACAUUAUUGGAUCUGAUGGUUUCUGAGUUAGUACGUAGAGACGACGCCGUGUUUGAGGUUUUAUGUUCUGUUUUGAAUGGAUUGAUUUAGCAGAUGAAAAAUUCAGAUCUGAUUUUGUCCUGACCAACAUUAACCAAAUGCACAACGAAGAAACCAACAAAAAAUUACCAACUGCAAAUUUCAGAAUCUGAUUCAUACAUUCGCUCCGUGGAUUUGGAGAGUAACCGAAAUCCGGCACCUGUAAAAACAGAAUUUUAGAAUUUCGAAAUUGUAUUCAUACCAACUUUGCUUCUUUUUUCCCUGAUAUUUGCCAUUUACAGACCCCCACAAGUUUUCGUGGGUAAAAAUGAAUUUUAAAUACUAACUUUGAUUCUGUAAAUAAUUUCACAAUUAAUUUCGUAAUUCAAAGAACAAUUUAAAAAAAAAAGGGAGUACUGGUGAGCUGUGAAGCAAUAUUAGUUUUGUUGACACAUAAAAAUUCAGCCCAAAUCAAACAGCCCAAGGAAUAAAGUCCAAUUGGAGGAUCCCCAAAUUAGAUAGCCCAAAAAACGAAAUCCAAUCAAACGAAUCAAGGUAAAGGCCCAAAUAAGGGGCCCAAGAAUACGGUAACGCCUUCUUUUUUCACUCAUUUUUUUCCAACAGGAAAACAAAUUGAUUGGAACAACAUUUGGUUUUCACCUGGUGAUGGCCAUUGUGUUGAUUUUUGGACAUGUUCUGCUGAGGUGAGUCCCCAUCAGCUGCCACCACCACCAUAAUUAUCAAUAUACAAACCUCUUCUUUACUUAUUACUCUCAUUCAAAUUAACUAAUAUUAACGUGUGUAACAUUACAAACGCCAGAUAGGGUGAAAAGGAAAAGCAUUAAAAAAAUUUGGUCAAAAUUUGGUCUAUUUAUCAAAUAUUACCAAUCAGGUUUGAAGAUGCUUCCGGAUUGUUCUCCUUCACCCACUCAUCCACAGUUUCCUUCCAUUUC
rnacentral:lncRNA from 1 species